rnacentral:snoRNA from 1 species
CUUUCCCAUAGAGGUGUUGUGGGUGUGGCUGCUGUGUCACAUGUAUAUGAGUAUAUGGCAGAGAGGUGAGAGGCUGUGUCUAUGCUUUAGUGUUCUGACCUAUGAAGAUCUGAAUGACUGGUAGGCUAACAUU